UAAAAAAUAAGUCAUGGGUUACGGCUUAUAAGUUGAAAAGCCAAAAGCGAAUCAAGAUAUGCACAUGACUGGUAAAUGAUUUUUGAAGCUGGCUCCUCGACUGGUUAGUGUUGGAGCGUUAAGAGAAAGCAACACUCCAAUUUUGUCUCUUAAAGUUCAGUACGCUGCGAGUUGUGACACUAGAACAUGGGAUUAGUAGGGUUGAGCUCUGCAUUAUGUCUGGUUAUUACCUACCAAACAUUCGACAGCUAGUUGGCAUAUUCUUCUUCUAUGGACCAAGUUCUAUGUCUGAAGUUGUCUUGUUUUCUACUAGUAUUGUUUCUUUACAUAAUAGCGGUUCCAUUUGGAACACAGCCCCUGCUGAUAAUGUGGAUCUGGUCUUGUUUCAUUUGUUCCGUAAAGACUUGGCUUGCUGGUUAUGUAUAUUUAAUAUACUCGGUGCUCCAAUCUAUUAUUGAAUGAACUGUCCCUUCGAAAGUUAGCUUUCUAAAGCCAUAUGUACUAUGGUAGAAGCCCGAGUUCAGUAGAAACUCCGGAAUUAAGUGGGGUGUGGACCAUUGUAGUGACAACCUGUUGUUUGCUGAUAUGGAUCCCGUUUGGAUUGACUUGUUUUUAGUGUUUUUAAGCUAAAAUAGACUUUUUAAGCACUUUUCAAGUGUUUGGGUAUAUUUAAAAAAUGCGUAUAAUGUUAAAAAUAAGUCAACAGUAAGCACUUAAUUUUAAGCUAAAAUUUUAAAAAUAAGUCAAAAGUUAUAAGUUAGAAAUCUAACUUAUGACUUACUUAUGACUUUUGGCUUAAAACGCUAAAAAAUAAGUCAUGGGUUACGGCUUAUAAGUUGAAAAGCCAAAAGCGAAUCAAGAUAUGCACAUGACUGGUAAAUGAUUUUUGAAGCUGGCUCCUCGACUGGUUAGUGUUGGAGCGUUAAGAGAAAGCAACACUCCAAUUUUGUCUCUUAAAGUUCAGUACGCUGCGAGUUGUGACACUAGAACAUGGGAUUAGUAGGGUUGAGCUCUGCAUUAUGUCUGGUUAUUACCUACCCUCCCAAAAUUUGUCGAGUCCAAACGGGUUGGUUAAAG
rnacentral:lncRNA from 1 species